rnacentral:rRNA from 1 species
UACGUAGGGUCCGAGCGUUGUCCGGAAUUACUGGGCGUAAAGAGCUCGUAGGUGGUUUGUCGCGUUGUUCGUGAAAACUCACAGCUCAACUGUGGGCGUGCGGGCGAUACGGGCAGGCUAGAGUUCGGUAGGGGAGACUGGAAUUCCUGUGUAGCGGUGAAAUGCGCAGAUAUCAGGAGGAACACCGGUGGCGAAGGCGGGUCUCUGGGCCGAUACUGACGCUGAUGCGCGAAAGCCAGGGGAGCGAACGGG